ACUCCUUCCUCUUUGCCUGAAAUAUCCUCUGUUUUACCCUAGGAUCACUGUCGUGAAUUUGAAAGCAUCCUUGAUGCGGGAGACUUACUCAGGGACCACGGCGUUGCAUCUCAAUUAAGUGAAGAAAUCUUAACAGUGCUUAGAAGACUGUCAUUGUUAUUGUGUUUGAUCCAGAAAUAAAGUCAUUCUUAAUAACACCCUUUCUUCAAGUACCUUGUACAUGCUGGAAACUGAUGAAGUAGGCAUGAAAAAUAAGAAAGGCUCCUGUUUUUCUGUAGACCCUCAUCUGCUGCCUACAGCGAAUACUGGAUAGCAUAUGAAACAGAAAUGAGCUUUAAGUGACAUUCACACCCCCUAAUCUGAGCUCUUUGCAAUUAUUUUAUAAUCUUACAAGAGAAGCAUUAACAGCUGAUUGAGACUACAGAUGAUACAGUAGCUAUGCUUUCUACACCAUGUGUGACCCAUCAGCUCUAUACAGGGGCUCUGCUUUUCACUGCACUUUACUACAACAACUACCUGACUGCUUAAAUAUGCUGUGGCAAGACAAGAUAAAUCAGAGAACAGUGUGAAAAAGAAAUGAAGUUCUGAGAAAGAGGUGAGACAAUACCCAAGACCUUGCAGUUAUUUGUUCUGCCUGAGCCAGAGGAAUGAUGCUGACAGUUGUCCUCAGAGAGAAAAAGGAGCUAUCAGAUGAAAUUGUAAUAUGAAAAGUUUGAAUCAACAAGCCUCUUGUUACUAAGUUAUCAAUGGACAUUUGUGGUGUUAAGUUGAUAGAAGCUUGAAAAAGAAUUGGAAAGAAAACCCAUGAACUACUCAAAAAGCUAUUGAAUAAGAAGAAUUUAUCUAUUUCAGCUAGUUUUGAACUGCAAAUAUGUGUGGUCUGCAAAAGUAAACUCAGGAAGUGUAAUUGUUCUUCUAUAGACAUCCACUGCUGGCUAACAUCAGAGUCAAGACUCGAUCUCACCUGGCACAAAGAUGAGUGGUCUAUUAUGUUCUGUACUUAUUUUUUACAUUUCAUUAAAUAAACUUUCCUUUUCUUAUAUAGCACUAAAACCAGAUUUCACAGGUACUUUAUUCUGCUUCAUGUUGUAUUUCAGAGGGUUCUUUGGGUUUUUUGUUGAUGGUGGUAGUGGUGGUUUUUGUUGAUAAGUUCAUUUUAAGUUAUUAGGAUAAUCCUGCUGCAGAUGGAACACAGGGCAGUGCUACUGUUAACAUGAUGAAUAGUAACAUUUUUGGGUUUGAGAUACUCACUAUAAAAAUAUUAGAUUGCUAUUAUAAUUCAGCUUUUGCUGUGCUAAUAUCUUAAUUAAGCCUGAUGAUAUUUCAGGGGGGCAGGGAUUUCUAGAUCUAUCUUUGUUAAAAGGAGUUCACUAGACCCACGUAUUGGAAUUCAAUAAUCAAGUGGAACAUGAUAUAUGGACUACACCUAUGUGGCCAAGUUGAUCAUCCUGUUUUGCUUGAGAGUCAGAUUUGGCUGAUUAGCAACUCUGCAUAUACACUAAGCAAGGUUGCAAGGUUCAACACCUGACGUGCUUGUUAAGGACAUGAAAGCAAUCUGUAACAGCUUGGCCUGAGGGCUGCAGAGCGUUUUUCACUGCAGUUCGGAAAGAGAAGCCAGUACCUGCAACCCCUUCUUUUCUUCCCUGAUGUGUUCUCUGAGGAGUGACGGAGCAAGGAACUUAAAGUCAAUGGAGACAACUAGGCAUUUUCUCCUGGACAGCAUGCUAGCAGCACCAUAACUGCCCUUUGCACUUCCAUGACUGAGAUCUGUUUCCCAGCUCUUUUUACAUUUCACAUGACAUGCAAAUGAAUUAAUCUUCAGACUGUUCCUACACAGUAGGCAAAUGUUGCUCUUAAAUAAAAGAAUCCAGCUGCUCAACUUGCCAGAAGACAGCAGUCAGGCAGUGAGAGGGAGAAGUCUGAAACUGCCCUGCAGCUGAGCUCAGAAUCCAGGAAUUCUUUUCCUUCUUGGUAUUGCAUUGAGGUCAUCUCACUCUUUGAUGUAGCCUAGAAAAUGUAAUGAGCUAUUAAAAACUGGAUACAUUUCCCCAGUAAAUUAGAAACAUUUACAAGUCCAACACUGAUCAUAAAACAUAGAUAGCACUUCUCAUAAUAAAAAUGUAACCAUAUUUUUUCCAUAUAUUUUAGAUUGUGUGAACUGUGGUCUUUCACUCUUUGGCUUGCAGUUUACUUUGUUACAUAAUUGUUACAUAUGAUUAAAGGUCGACCAAGUUAAAACUAUAUUUUGUUGGAGGAAACACAUAAAAAAUAUUUGAUCUUGCCCUACCAUUUUACUUAGACCUUCUGCAGAGCUGGGUUACAAUGUGCCAGUAUUAAUAAAACAAGAUGUAUCUUAGAAUCUAUAUUGUAUAAUUCAUAAACAUUUCAAGGUACCUGUAAACUUAGGUUAACACGUCUCAGGGAGUUAAAAAGGCAGCCAUUGUAUGCUCAUUGAGUUCUGUACAGUACAACCAUGUUCUUGAGCAACUGGACACAUAGAAAUAUUUAGUUCCAAUGCCAACUUUCAUCACUGCUUGGAAGUAAACAACUAAACUAAGAAAAGAAAUCAAGGAAUUAGAACAAACCUCAUUGCUUUCUAUCUCAAAUCUAACCUCUAAAUAUAAAUUAUUGAAUACUUUGUUUUAAGAACUUAAGCAUCUGUUCACUGUAUUUUUACUUUAAACAGAUGCUGUAGAUACAGAUGUAGUCUUUUUGCAUUUACCCAGACCUGAUGUUAUUAAGAAUAUCCACAUGAGAAAAGGUUACAAAGAUGAUCCCUGUAAGAAGGUGAAUCAGAUGGCAUAUAUUGUAAUACAGAGUACAUUUUGCUGUAGCUGACUGACAUGUUUAGAAAAGCAGAUACUUUGAUGAGAAGAUCAACUGCACAAUAUUCUCCUAGAAUCUUCUCCAGAGUCUCAAUGCAAACUAACAUAAGGAUGCAACAUAUGUGUCAAGAGAAAUAAACACACAUUAAACCAGACAUUCAUUUUUCUCAAACUAAGCUCCAAAAGCACAUGCAGCAGAAUACUAGGAAAAAGUAGAAAUGCCAACUUUACAGCAAGUCACAUUUCAGAUGAAGAAAAGCUUUUAUAUGAAGUUGUAUCCACAGUCACUAGUGUAAAAUAUUAAUAGCUUCAGUUGUACCACUCUCUCAUGGAAUAGAAAGUGUUCAUAGGAUAGAAUCAUUUGAUUUAAAAAUCCUGCUGUUCAACAAGUACACGGUAUUUGUAGUUAAAGAUUAUCAUCUGUUGGUUGAUACACAGAAACGUUGGUGAUGUCUGGUCAAUGAUUUUAUUCGAAUGUGAGACCAGAGCUUAACAUAAAGCAGCCUAAUGUAAAAUUAUAAAAGACUGUUGUUGAGCUUAUUAGAUGAUCUUAAUUUUAAUGACUUGGUUAACCUAAAAUGCUCUUCCUGUUUUUCAUGUGAAGAGCACUCUGGUUAAGUGUUGUAUGCGUUUGUCCUUUUUUCACAAAAUGGCCUGGGAGGAACUGAACAGCAUCCUACUUCCCCUCUCUGUAUGCUGGAGGUUUUGGCAGUAAGAAAGUUCAAAUCCUCAAACAAACAGCCCUGGUGCCCAGAAACCAUUUUUUCCUUUAACAGAUUUAUUGCUUGAAGAGGUAUUCAUGUCAGAAGGCUCAACAGUAUUGUUACAGGGUUUUUUUCCCUGCACACAGAAAAUGUAAAAGGAAUUCAGCUGUACUUCAGUGAAACAGCAUUAUCAUCCCAGGAAUGAACAAACUGAUUUGUUAUGUCCUUAACAAAAAGCAAGUCAACUUCUAAAUAGUGAUGUGGGAUUGUUGUGAAACUAUGGCCCAGUAUGCUGUCAGAGAUAACGACUCUGCUAUUUCAGUGGUAGCUCUAAUUUCGCUGUACAUCCUUUCUGACUGCCUGAGGAAAGCAAGAGUGGGUCACGUUGGCUCUGUCAAUACUAAUACCACAGGACAAACUUGAACGACGAUAGUCAGGCAGGACUGAAAAUCUGGUGAUGUGACCUCCUAAUGCAGCCUCCUAGUCCUGUGGGAAAUGAUUAACAGGUGUAUUUGAUUUUCAAAGUUCUGGUCUUAGAAAGUUCAAAAAAUGAUUACUGUUUGGAAUUAAUGGGUGCCUGCCAUCUCAGGAUCUCAAGUGAAUAUAACCUUCCUAGGAAGCAAAUACUGCCGUCCUUAGUUCAAAGGUAUUAAAAAGAAGACAUGCAAAGAUU